AUAUUUUUUUAUGUAUGAAGCAAGUGCCCUCUGGAAACUUUCAGGUCCAAGAUAGCUCUGUAGCAUCCGGAUGACAGAUGCACCUUUUCUAUAACUAAUUGCAUCAAAAAUUUCAUCAAUUUCUCCGGCAUGAUUGAUGUCAACCUCAAUCGGGUGGGAUUCUGCAAGCCCAUCUAGACGAAGUCCCUCAGUGGCCUCUUCAAGAAACUGCGUCCAAAUUUUCCAUUCUGGGAACAAGCUGUCAGUCGCCAAAUAACUUACCCAUGUUGCAAACCCCUCAUUCAGCCAUAGAUGUGUCCACCAUUCCAUGGUUACAAGAUUGCCAAACCACUGA
rnacentral:misc_RNA from 1 species